AUCGUGCGGCACCGCUUAUAAUCCGUGUUGCUCAUAAGCCUCUUAGCACCAUAGGCUUGUUACUACUCUGUAGUUUAAGAGCGUCAACAUAAGCGUAGACGAAAAGAACAUCUUAGCACCCUUUCGUGGCAUCAAUAUUAUUUCGAUGUGAUGAGGGUCGGGAGUUCAUACAUUC
rnacentral:snoRNA from 1 species